CUGCAGUCGACGGCAGCACGGGGGCAACCCUGGUGGCGAGUGGCGAACGGGUGAGUAACAUAUCGGAACAUAUCCGGAAGUGGGGGAUAACGUACCGAAAGGUACGCUAAUACCGCAUAUGCCCUGAGGGGGAAAGGAGGGGAUCGCAAGGCCUUUCGCUUUCGGAGUGGCCGAUAUCGGAUUAGCUAGUUGGUGAGGUAAAGGCUCACCAAGGCGACGAUCCGUAGCUGGUCUGAGAGGACGACCAGCCACACUGGAACUGAGACACGGUCCAGACUCCUACGGGAGGCAGCAGUGGGGAAUUUUGGACAAUGGGGGCAACCCUGAUCCAGCCAUGCCGCGUGAGUGAAGAAGGCCUUCGGGUUGUAAAGCUCUUUCAGACGGAAAGAAACGGUCACGGCCAACACCCGUGACUAAUGACGGUACCGUCAGAAGAAGCACCGGCUAACUACGUGCCAGCAGCCGCGGUAAUACGUAGGGUGCGAGCGUUAAUCGGAAUUACUGGGCGUAAAGCGUGCGCAGGCGGUUUUGUAAGACAGACGUGAAAUCCCCGGGCUUAACCUGGGAACUGCGUUUGUGACUGCAAGACUAGAGUGUAGCAGAGGGGGGUAGAAUUCCACGUGUAGCAGUGAAAUGCGUAGAUAUGUGGAGGAAUACCGAUGGCGAAGGCAGCCCCCUGGGCUAACACUGACGCUCAUGCACGAAAGCGUGGGGAGCAAGCAGGAUUAGAUACCCUGGUAGUCCACGCCCUAAACGAUGUCAACUAGGUGUUGGGGAAGGAGACUUCUUUAGUACCGCAGCUAACGCGAUAAGUUGACCGCCUGGGGAGUACGGUCGCAAGAUUAAAACUCAAAGGAAUUGACGGGGACCCGCACAAGCGGUGGAUUAUGUGGAUUAAUUCGAUGCAACGCGAAAAACCUUACCUACCCUUGACAUGUCAGGAAGAUACCAGAGAUGGGAUUGUGCCCGAAAGGGAACCUGAACACAGUGCUGCAUGGCUGUCGUCAGCUCGUGUCGUGAGAUGUUGGGUUAAGUCCCGCAACGAGCGC
rnacentral:rRNA from 1 species